rnacentral:tRNA from 1 species
GGUCCCGUAGCUCAGUUGGAUAGAGCGGCAGCCUUCUAAGCUGUAGGUCAUUGGUUCGAAUCCAAUCGGGAUCACUA